UACGUAACUUUGCCCGUUGCGGCGGUGAGGGAUCCGCCGUUGAGCAGAGCAACACAGCCGAACGGAUCCUAAAGAAUCUAUAAACAGCGUCCUUUGACAUCACACAGAUAGCAAACAGCAACUGUUUACUGAUGUCAGGAAACCUUCCACUCAUAACAGGAAAGGAACGUGGGAAAAACACAAGACGACAGAAAACAUGCUCCUGUCAAGUGCAGAGAAAGAAACCACGGAGAGCUGGUGACGAGGACGGUAAGACGGAGAGAGGGAACUGUGUAUACUGCAUCCAAGUCUCGUGCCAAGGACAACAGGGUCUAAGGGCAGGAAACAGUCCAGGACAAUCUAAACAGCGGUAGGAAGAGGAUGUGCAGAGCUGUGCGGGCAUCCAGGCAACCUCAGCUCUGGUAAUCUGCUUGUUAUGAUCAUCAAGGAAAAGAAAUACACAUCAUACCGUAGCGGAGCCGUUCCGGCCAUCUGGGGGUGUGAUAACUUCCUGGGAUACUGCCGCAUUGCCUGCUUCGCUCGGGAGUCUUCCGUAGGCCCAAAGGACUGCGCAGAGGGACUGACAUGCUGCGUCCCAAACGCCAUUGGCAGUUUCUGGUGAAGGACGAGCGAGGAAGAUGAGAUUUCGGCUGGCAGAACAUAAAUAAUCUUUCUAUUGUAAGCGGAUGCCAUUACACAGACUAGUGCCCAGUCCUACCACCCACAGAAUAUCCGUGGCUCGGCCACAGGGGAAUCCGCCACAUGCGCAGUAUUACACCAUUCAUAAAAUGAUAUACGUGACUGGAUCGCUUACACACCGCUGGCUGAUAGGAGACGGUGUUUAUCAUACAGUGUGCAGGGUUCCCUCUAGGAGACGUUGUUUAUCAUACAGUAUGCAGGGUUCCCUCUAGGAGACGUGGUUUAUCAUACAGUGUUCAGGGUUCUCUCACUCUAUAGAUACUGGGGGGCAAUGCAGGAUUACCACUGGUGGCACCCACCCUGCCCUACACUGACUCCUGUCUACUUCAUGCCCCAAUCAUGUAAUUCAUUAGCAGCACUCCCAUUAUAUAUCUUUGUCUGGUAUAAAACGCCUCCCUUCAUAAAUA